rnacentral:rRNA from 1 species
CUUCUAUCUUCGACGUAUUUUUUUGGCUUUAUUAUUUAUUUAUUUCAUUUCGAUUUUUCCCUCUUCCUCUAUCCCUAUCCUCUAGGUACAACGUUUGCAUCAAUAGAGAACCUUUUCCUCUGUAUGAAUCUAUAUUAUUCCAAUUUCUUCCCGAAACUUCCCAAGAAAAAUCCCGAAUUGGAUCCAAAAUUGACGGGUUAA